UAUUUAAUGAGUAAACGACGAUACAGCAGCUAUAUUACUCGGUUAUGUACACACUGUUCUUCAACAAAAAUUUCUUAUUUUCAUUCUGAUCUCCGAAGUGUAACAUUCAGGAAUAAACAAAGAUUGCUUGUUUGGAUUUUUGGUGACUAUCUUAAGCAUUGAGGAUAAAAGACAUCUGUGGUUUCAUUUCAAUAAAGUUCAUAUCAAUAGUAAUUAAAGGCGUAGUGGACCACUAAUCGUCCAUCCAUGUCGUAGUAGAACAGCGAAGGGACCUUCUCUUGUGCUUGGUAUUACUCUCAAAGGCUCGUGGGCUGAAAUACAGUUGCUACCAAUGAGAAGGCCAAUCUCUAGACCAGAAUCUGGAUUCAUUUUCUCUGUGUUAACAAUGUUCCAAAUUGAAUGAUGUCUUUGCUCUGCUAUUGAAUGAGAAGGGAUUUUCAAUUUAAAGAUCAGUUUAAUGGAUCCAAUAAAAAGCAAAGCUAAUUAUUCCCGGGUUUGUCAACUGUUGGUAGAUAAAGGAGGAGAUGCUUUGAGACUUGCUCUACAUUUGGUGCAUCCACCUUCCUCCUUGGCCUCCGCAUUGAAUGCCAACAAGAUGACCCUGCAGAGAAUACGAUACAAUAUAAUUAAAACCCCGCAAUGGGAUUUACUCUUCCCAAUAUCUGGUGUACCAGAUUCAAACAACUUCGAUGUCACCUUACUGACUGUCCUACUUCGAAAUAUUUGUGGAUUGUCUCCACCAGCGACUGGGUGGAAUGUUAUGCCUCCAGCUAGCGAUACAUCUAUAUCAGCAAACAUUUUGAGAGUCAAAAUGUUCAGGAAUGAAGUGUAUGGUCAUAUUCCAACUGCAAGUUUGGACGACACAACGUUUGAAAAAUUGUGGCAAGAGAUUUCGGUACCGUUGGUCAACUUGGGAAUUCCUCAAAAGGAUAUUGAUGAGUUGAAAGUGACUCCUCUUAGCCCUGAAGAAGAAAGUUAUAUUAACAGAUUAAAAAAAUGGAAACAACAAGACGAUGACUUGAAAUCAGAAUUAAGUGAUGUUAGAAGUGAAGUAGUCA